UUUUCUUUCACAAACUUUUUAGUUUGAAACAUUCAUUAUAUCUCUUACCUCCAUUAUUAAGUCUUAUUAUUCACCAUGAACUCUUAUUAAGUCUUAUUAUUCACGCGAACCCUCGUAGAGACUUCACUGUCAACUCCCAAGGAAACUUUUCUAGACAAGCAUAACAGAGAGCUUAGAAGAUAAAGCAAUAGGCGAUGUCAUUGUUGCUUCAACUUCUUAUUCCUCGAAUUAUUUUCACUCAAACUUAUUUUCUCUUCAUAUUCUAUUUUUAUUCACUUUGCAAUUAGAAUCCUUACAUUACAAAACCGACGGAUAUUCAUCGACACAGAUUCUUUAAAAAUUUGGUUUACUGAAGAAUUUACCGGUGAUGUAAAUGUUGAAUUUAAUGUUGAAUUUAUUGACGAAUGUAUUUGUUGAUAAUUUAGUGAUAAAACAUAAGACCAAUUAUCCGUCGAUAAAUUGUAUGACUUUUAUUGACAGUUGCGACUGUCUACCGCAAAACUUAAACAUUUUAGAGGUUAAAUUUAUGCUAUUAGACUUAUAUUAUCAUAUAAGUUAUUUGUAAUUUUGAUGAAACUGUUUAAAUUGAAAUUUUAUCUGAAUUUAAACUUUAUUUGAAUUGGAAUUUUGUUUUUGAAUUAGGUCUGAAUUGGAAUUUUGUUUUUGAAUUGGAUCUGUUUUUCUGAAUUACAAGUAUGAAUAAGACAUUAAUAAGACAUUAAACAAAGCUCGCUUUAAAAAAAAUCCAUAAUUAAUGAUGGUUAUGACUAUAACUGUCGUUGUUGUUUACUGUUUUUAACAAAACCUAAAUCAAUGACGAAUUUAGAAUUGUCUUCAUAGGCUUUGGUUAGUUGUGGAUAAGCAUUACUAUAGUAGUGUCUCCCCUAAAUCAGAACGCUUCCCUAAAAAUCGAAACUUCUUCUUCCCGAAAAUCUCAGUCUCCUGGACGAAGAUCCCUUACUGCCGGAGAGCUGACAAGAACGACGGUGUCGUCGGUGCCAACUCCUCAAUGCUGCUCACACUAUUGCCUGAGUAAUUUGUGUGGUGACUUUGCCGCUGCUGCAAUCCUCACGCCACCACAUCGUUGACGGAUAAGUUGUUGGUUAAGAACAUCAAAGCUACGAGGGAGGCAUAGGGAACCCCAUUCAUUGGCAGAGAUGUUCGCGUGAGCGAGGCUGCGAGGGAGGUUGCUAAAUUUGUGGUUGCACCAUCAAGGAAAUAAUCCAAGCCUUACGUGAUUUAUGGAAUCCUACUUUCGAUCCUUUUUAUAUAUGAAAUCAGAGGCUAUACAACCUUAGUACGUGUUCUUUUCAUUGUUUGUUUGCAUUAUUUUCCUAUAUUGAUUUUGCUUGAUUAGAAAAACACUUCACGCUUACAAAAUACUUUUACAGGCUACGUCGUUCAUGGAUUGUGGUUGAAUUUACCAUUUGGUACUUUCUUUUUUAGCAAAUUGGAACAAAAGUAAGACUUUGCUGUAUUGGUUUUUUUUGCUUUAGUUAUUAUUUACUUUAUUUAAA